AAAAGUCUUGGUCCUAAACUUAUUAUUAUCUUUAGCAAUCAUUACACAUGCAAGCCUCCACGCCCCAGUGCAUAAACCCACCAACUGUAAAUCAGAUACGGAGUCGGUAUCAGGCACGCACCAAGCAGCCCAAGACGCCUAGCUUCAGCCACAGCCCCACGGCCUUCAACAGUGAUAGACAUUAAGAAAUAAGCUCACGCUUGACUUAGCCAAAGCUAAAUAGGGCCGGUAAACUCCGUGCCAGCCACCGCGGUUACACGUAGGACCCGAGAUAAUAAACCCGGCGUAAAGCGUGCCUAAAGACCAAACUACUACACAGAGUAUAAAACACAUAUACAGUUGUAAAAUACAUACAUAUAUGCACGAACUCCAACAUACUCGUUAACCAGCAAACCUUUACUCACGAAAGUUAGGACACAAACUAGGAUCAGAUACCCUACUAUGCCUAACCGUCAACCUAAACAGCCAUAUCACCAGCAGUUCGCCAGAAAAUUACGAGCAAAAGCUUAAAACCCAAAGGACUUGACGGUAUUCCACAUCAACCUAGAGGAGCCUGUCCAACAAUCGAUGAUCCGCGUUUAACCUCACCCCCCCUUGCAAAUUCAGCCUAUAUACCGCCGUCGCCAGCCUGCCUGAUGACAGAAACACAGCUGGUAAACCGAACUCCCCCUACCAACGUCAGGUCAAGGUGUAGCUUAUGGGGGGGCAUGAGAUGGGCUACAUUUCUCAACCUGAGAAACCACUAAAAGAAACAUGAAACACAAUCUCCCUCAAGGUGGAUUUAGCAGUAAGUCCAGCAAGAUGCGCCGGCCUGAAGACUGCCCUGGAAUGUGUACACACCGCCCGUCACCCUUCUCGACACAAAACACCCAAUAAAUAAUGCACAAACAUAACCCCAGAUGAGGUAAGUCGUAACAUGGUAAGCGCACCGGAAGGUGUGCUUGGAACA
rnacentral:ncRNA from 1 species